CGUUCCUAUGAGAUUCGAGAGUAUGACCAUCCGUUGACAAACAGCAGUAGAAGAUAUGUUGUUGGAGAUAGGUUUCACUCCACUGUCCAUCCACAUAAAUCUCAUCUAUGCUUGUAUCACAAUAUUGACAACAGUGAACAAGCAUUUUCCCUAGCAACUAGCUACCAAGAAUCGGCGAAUAAUACGAAAAACAGAAAACGUUUAAGAUCGGCUUGCAUGCAGAGCUUCCAUAUGCAUUAUUUCUACAAUGUCCUCAUGGAAUUCUAUCAAAAUGAGAAAGUUGUGGAAAAGCAAAAGGAAGACCUGGAACGAAGUGGAAAAACUGUUAUCUUACAGUGGCUUAACUGGCAAACAACGGUUAAGUCCCAUGAUAAAGGACGAUUUGUUCCUUGCCUUGCCAUUCGCUGCACCGUCUUUGGAGAAGAGUUCUUAGAUGUGCGGAAGGAGGAACUACAACAAGAAAUUUCAAGGCAGGUUGAGAAAGGCAUCGGGAGACCAGUUUACUUUGCCAAAAACAAUGCCAAAAUAACAAAAUCUCAACAAAGAGCAAGAGAUCCAGAGCUAACGACCUGCUUAAAAGCACACAAAAUCCCUAUAUCUUCCUUUUCAAGCUGCAUGGGUUGGAAUACGGGAUCACAGGUGGAGAAGAGCCUUUGUGUGAGGAAAAUGAAACCUUUUUGGAACCAAGGGAUGAUCACCAAUCGACAUGCAAAGACAUUGAAAAUUGUAUAAAAAAAAGGCUUAUUGGUAAGUAUGUAAUACAUUUCUUCAAACAAAUAACCAGUACGGCUAUAUAUUUUUAUAUGAUUAUACAAUACCUUAUUUCUCGGCAUACAAGACGAGUUUCUAGGUCUGUACAAUACGAAAAGCCUUGAGAAAGCUUGCUUUGAAUUUGUAAUGGUAGUUUACAAGAAAUUUUAGCAUAAACAAUUUUGCGUUUGGACAACUUUUGAUAGGAGAGUGUGAACUGCGGUUCUUGGAACAGAAAUUCUUUCUUUCGCGAUUAUCGUGAUUUUUGUCAGCUAAAACGCAAUAGUAUAUAUGUUCUUAAUGAAAUAUUGAAAGUUCGCAAUGAAAGAGACCAGUUCUUUGCACUUUUAGUAAAAAAUUCAAGGGUCGACUUAUAGAUUGGGAAAAACGGUACUGAAUUGAAUCUUGCUAAAGUCUUAACCGAAAUGUCUUCAUGUUACUGAUUUUUUCAUACGAAUUGCUAUACCUGGAAUUUCUAAACCUUGAUAAGUCAUCAGUUUGAAAUCGCUAACAAGAAUUAUUUUCUUGCCCUAGAGUCUUUGCAGUAUGAAAGCCUUAGAAAAGAAAACGCGGAUGUGAACUUUGUGGUAAGCAAUCAGAUGAUUCAUCAAAUACACUCACUUUUUAUAAGAACCACUAAAUUUGAGUUCAGGCUGACAGUUCUUAAUUUUUUCGAAAAUCUGAAGCUGAGGGUGUAAGCAGUGCAAUUGCUAGCUUUUUCGCUCUAGGGAAGUGUUCAGGCCUCAUUUGUCAACAAAGUGGGUGAGGCAACCUUCAUUUGCUGCCAAGUUUGAAUAUUCACUACCGAAAAAGCACCCAAACAUGGCUAAAAAUCCUCGUUUCUGAGAUAAAACUUUGUUAAAAAUUGCAUUUUACAGUAGCUCAGCCUUAGCUUGUACAUGAUUUGUUCUUAACUCUUGACCAAUUUUGAGGCUCGUGUUCUUAAAAAAUUGAGCGUAAUAGAUGAAAUGCACAAUUAGCUCACAAUUGUUAUUGCUUUAUUGAUCUAUUUAUGACACUUGUAAUUGCAAUUUGGUAUUCAACCGAGCUUUUUAAGUAUAUUACCUUUGUAGAAAUUGUUUCGUUUGCAGGAAAACCUGUCUCCAGAGACCAAGCAGAAAUACCUGCUCUUCACUCCAAAAAGAAGGGCUGCAUUUCAGUUGGUAUGAAUUAUGACACUUUUAAUAUUUGUUAUUGAAUCAAAUAUGACAAUCAUCUUUCAAGAAAAGAAUUCAUCAAUUGAUGUUUUUCGACAGAGUGGACUUUUUUAAAGAUAUUUCCUAAUCUCACAAACAAAAUUUAUUUUGAAGGGAAUUGAUUAUCAGAGUAGGAGAGAGGAGCAGCGCCAAGAAAAGAGAAGACUCUUUGCAGAAGGGACGGUUGGUGUUCUCAAACUUGUCUUAGCAGUCUAGAAUUAAAAAAAAAUAAUACAAAUGUUACAAUUUCCCCAUUCAUCACUCGACUCACCAUGUAUAUUUUAUGGUGCUCCUAUUUUAGGUAUGCAAAAUGAGGACGAGCAUCCACAUCUAGAGCCAGAAGAGCCUAUUACUUCUACGCCAAUUCCUGAUGCAAGUUCACAUGAAACAGGGAAGCCAAAGGAAACAAAACCAUCAAAAUAUUGCGUCUGUAAAGUUGUGAAAAGAGGCAGAAUGAUUCAAUGCUCAGGGCCAAAGUCAGAGUGUGUCGGAAAUAACUGGUAUCACCUCUCAUGCCUCAAGAUGAAACAUAUCCCUAAAGGCGACUGGCUCUGUAUUGAUUGUAUGCAAGACAAACAACAAAAAAGGCCCAUCAACAAGAAGAGGAAAGGAAAAUAAUUGCAAAGAGAUUAACUUUAACAAUAAAUUUUUAGGACAAGAAAAAAUCUAAAUCUGACAAUAAUAUAAUCACUAUAUAUAUUCUACAAAUUGAUGAAACCAACAAUUUUCUUUAUUCCUCGACUUACCUCAUAUAAAAUAAAAAUUAGGCUAUUCAUUAUGAGAAUGGAAUAUACAAGUAUCAAGUUAUUUAAAAUGAAACUAAGUACUGGGACCUUUCGGUACCUUGACACUUCUCAAGCGUCUAUAUGAGUUUCUAUGUGCUGGUACCUUCGGGACCCUUGCUACCCUUGGUACCUUGUUUCUGAGAAUGGAAUACGCAAGUAUCAAGUUAUUUGAAAUGAAACUAAGUACUGGGACCUUUUCGGUACCUUGACAUUUCUCAAGAGUCUAUAUGAGUUUCUAUGUGCUGGUACCUUCGGGACCCUCGGUACCCUUGCUACUUUGUUUAUGAGAAUGGAAUACACAAGUAUCAAGUUAUUUAAAAUGAAACUAAGUACUGGGACCUUUCGGUACCUUGACACUUCUCAAGAGUCUAUAUGAGUUUCUAUGUGCUGGUACCUUUGGGACCCUCGGUACCCUUGGUACCUUGUUUCUGAGAAUGGAAUACACAAAUAUCAAGUUAUUUAAAAUGAAACUAAGUACUGGGACCUUUCGGUACCUUGACACUUCUCAAGAGUCUGUAUGAGUUUCUAUGUGCUGGUACCUUCGGGACCCUCGGUACCCUUGGUACCUUGUUUAUGAGAAUGGAAUACACAAGUAUCAAGUUGUUUAAAAUGGUACUAAGUAGUGCUUCUUAGGGUUGCUUAUUGUAGUUUCUAUGGUGUUUUUUUUUGGGUCAUAUAUGGUUCCUAUUUUCCUCUAUUGUUAUGUAAAUGAGAAUUUUUGAAUUUAGCCAAUCAUAGGUGAUGUUACUAAAACUUCUACAAGACCCAUUAUUAUGAGUAAUUUUGGAAUUUUUGACCAGUAGAGACCUUUAUGAGGGUGGUUACACUUCUGCUAUGUUUUCCUCCGUAUGAUGAGAAAAUUGAUCCUUUCCAGAUGAAUUUUAGAAAGGUGGUGUCUGCGUGCUCAGAGUAAUAAGUCUGUAGCAAAAAUAUGACAGACUCUUUCCUAGUUUUAAGCCAGUCAAUUACGUUGGAACACUUAACAUGGUCCCUAAGUUCGUGAACCUUUAUUGAUAUUAUAUUAAUAGCUGCCAUCACUCACUGGGGGAGGGGAGCACCAAAAUCAUCGGUUAUUAGGAAGAGGUAGGUUGCCGAGCUGGACAACCCUUUGACUUCUUCUUGGUAGAGGGCCUUCACAUGGCGGACCUAGAAGGACCUCUUAGAAGAAGCUGGGACGUAAGCAUCGCCAGGGGGAAUGGGAAAAGGGGGGAGAGUGCAAGAAAACUUAGGAGAAAAGUAAGUACCCGGUCGGAAUGACAAGGUAUCUUACCAGUUCUUAACAGGCUGUGCAUCUGGUUGCGUGGCGUCUUCCAAAGAUUUAUUGUUUCUGUAAAUUUGAACACUUUAGGUUCCCAGUUCAGUUUAUUCAUGUCUUCGGUACCAAAAUAGAGGCCAAGGAUUUUGAGGGAUUUCUUUUUCCAGUUAAAACAUAGAGGGGAAUCAAGGCGGUUUUUAAAGCUACCAAGCCAGAGGCCUUCACUUUUAUCUUUGUUUAUUUUAGCUCCAGAGGCUUUUUCGUAGUUCGCAAUGUGAUUUUCAAUUGCGAGUAAAGAUUGGUUACCUUGAAGAAGAAGGGUGGUAUCGUCUGCGUAUUGUAUAAUUUUAACUUUUAUCUUUGUUUGUUUUAGGCGGACACUGCAGACAUUGGCGGCAAACACCUCAGCAAUGAGAACAUAAAGAAGCGCAGAGAGGGGGCAACCUUGUCUGAUCCCUCUGCUAGGAGUGAAAGAGUCAGAAAUAAAAUCGUUACAUUUAACUUUGCUUUCAAUGUUAGUGUAUAGAAGUUUUACCAAGCUAAUAAAAACAGGACCGAAAUUGAAUUUUUCAAGUGUUUUAAGGAGAAAGUUUCAAUUUACACGAUCAAAGUCUUUCAUUUGAUCAAUAGAUAAUAGAGCGACCAGGAUAUUUUCAUCUUCAGAUAAUUGAAUAAUGUCUUGUAAAGCAUGGCAAUUGCCUAAAAUUGAGCGGUCGGGAACAGAGCAAGUUUUAUCUUCUGCUAUAAUGCUAGUUAGGACUUUUGAAAGGCGAUUUGCUAGAACUUUGGCAAUUAUUUUCUAAUCACAAUUUAAGAGGCUAAGGGGGCACCAGUUUUUAAUGUUUUCUCUUUCGCCUUUUUUAAAGAGGCAAGAAAUCAAUGCAAUACUUUGAGAGGGGGUAAGGGAUUUAUUAUCGAAGCAAGAGUUAAUUACGUUUAUGAAGUGUUUACCUAGAGAUUUCCAAAAUAAUUUCUAAAAUUCGCACGGUAGUCUGCCUAUUUCAGGAGAUUCACCAUUUACCAUAGUUUUUAAGGCAAAGUUCACUUCUUCAAGAGUAAGGGGGUUUUCACAAAUGUUUUUCUCAGUUUCUGAAAGACGUUUACUUGUAAUUUAUAAGAGAGUAUCCUGAAGAUUUGAGUCGACUGGCCCUUCUUUAUAGAGAGAAGCAUAAGAUUCUUUGACUAUAUAGACUAAUUUGGUCGGGUCAGAGAUGGAAUUAUCGUUUUUAUCUUUUAUUGAUUUCAUUGUACGGUCGCUUUGUCGUUUCUUUUCAAGGGAGCAGAAAUAUCUUGUAACUUUUUCACCUUGUUCGGACCAUUUAGCUUUUGACCUAAUUUUCACUCCCUCAGCUUUGGAGGCUUCCAGGGAUUUAACUUCGUUGCUUUUGUUUUUGUAAAGUUACAGGAAUCGGGGGUCCUCUGAACUCUCUGCCUUUCUUUUCACAUUUCUGAGUUGUUCGAGCAAUCUGAAUUAUUACGGAGAAAUUGUUUCUUUUGGUUUCUUGAAUAUAUUUUUGCAUUGUCAACAAAAGUGGUUUUGCUGUGUUCCCACCAUUCAAUUAACAAGGGGAAAGAAUCUUGUGAUUGUUCCUAGUCUGUGAUAAAUUUAUUAAUGGAGCUGAUGAAUUCUUGCUCUUUUAAAAUAGAAGUAUUUAAUUUCCAUAUACCUGGCCCGCGUUUAGCGGCUGAGAAAUUGAGGGUAAGAGAGAUCCUAUCAUGAUCAGAGUGGGGGAAAGGGUCGAUUCCUAGAAGUGUAACAUUUAUCAAUACGACUAAAGGAACCGCAAGAACUAGAGAAUGUAAAUUCCUUAGAGGAGGGGUUUUGAACACGACAGAUAUCCUCUAAGGCAUUGGAAGACAGAACUGCUUUUAGAUUAUUAGCAGUUUUUUCAAGAUAAGUUACAGGGCUAAAGCCGAGGGGUGUAUCACGAGUGGAAAUCUCGUACACCUUGCUUAGAAAUCGAAAAUCAAAUCCAGAAAUCUUUUCAAGAUUUCAAAAAUCCACCGAAUCCAUCUUAAAUCCAGCAAUCCCUGAAAUCCUGAUGAAAUUUUCAAAAUCCUUAUGAUUUUUACGAAAUCCAGAAAAAUCUUCCCGAUUUGCUCGAAAUCUCUUAAAUUUUUUCAAAAUUUUCGAAAUCUUCAGCCUCAUAUUGCGCCAUUUUUGGAUGGAAACGAGGCUUGUAAGAGCAGUUGCUAUGUAAAAUAAAACAAUGUGUUUUGUUCAUCAACGUUUUGAAAGCGUCGUUUCAACUGUUUCAAUGUGAUUUCAAUUAGCGUUGUUUCAGUGUGGUUUGAUAUAGAAAUGGAUAAUGACUUCUCGGGUAAGUUCAGUUUGACAAUUUUGUAACAAUGGUAGAUCUGUAAAUGUAAUCAAGGAUAGAGUUGCAAUAUGAAAGUACGAGCAAUACAUGUGGGCCUAAAUAUUAAAAGAAUGGGAGGGAUCUGACGUCAGGUCAUCUUCUUUCCAUCAACUAUAACUAUUUCUAGUACUGUCACUGAGUCUAAGAGCCUGCUUCUCAUGCUUUUCAUAGAUGAGGAGUCAAUCAACAGAGAGUGUCAAAAUCCCAAUUGUAUCAAGUUGCGAGAAGACCUUAAUGAGCUUAAGGUAUGAUUUAGCAACUAGCAUUCAAAUGCACAUGCACUUCAACAUUGCUCUGAAAAUAUUGUAGUCCUAUGCAGUUAUGCUUGUUUCUCAAAACUUGUUUGCUUAAUCCAUCAAAUUUUCUUCAAGGUGCGCUUCAAGGGACACCAAAAUGAAAUUUUAGAGGAACUCUGGAAUCUUAUCCCAGCAGCAGGAAAUUACAUCAAAAACAUAAUGAAGUAUAGUGGUUUUGAUACAAAAUCUGCCAUUGUGAAGCUAAAACAGACGCAAGAAUUAGAUGGCAUGUUUGAAUUUGCAAGAUCAAUGGUUGAUGUCAUUGAAGACAAAACUGCAAUGUUUGGUAUUUUCCAUAAAAAUCCAGAAAAAGUGAGGGUGCUGCCUGGCCUUAAUGUAAGUGCUUUUUCCACAGUGAAUUAUUGUGUCAUUGAAUCAUAUUUGCAUGCAACACAAUCUGUCAUGCACUUGAUAAGCUUUCCUUUAUUAUUUGUUAUAUAUAUUUUUUCUGCUUCAUUGCAACAGACAGCCCUGAAUAAAUUCCUUGAUGCUGUUGAGGAACAACUUUCUUCUUCUGUCAAUCCACACUAUCAAGUAAAGCUGGUUGCUUGCUUGCUUGCUUGCUUGCUUGAUUGCUUGCUUGCUUGCUUGCUUGCUUGCUUGCUUGAUUGCUUGCUUGCUUGCUUGCUUGCUUGCUUGCUUGCUUGCUUACUGGCUUGCUGGCUUGCUGGCUUGCUGGCUUGCUUGCUUGAUAAUGUUAAUAUGUUUUUUUUAUCUUCAGGACAAUCCAAAAAACUUGCUUCAGCCCGCUGGUCAAGCAGAAGCUACAGAAAUCAGCGGGCAUUAAAGGCUGCAGCUGCAGCUCCUGCACAGCGAAAGAUUACAGAGUACUUCCAUGAAAGAAUAGCGAAUAUAAUUAAUGAAAAUGAAAAGGUCAGAGAGGGUAUCAAUUUGUUAAGUGGGAAAGAUAAGUUCGCAGAUGUGAAAACAGUGUUAAAGAAGCUCUUCUAAAGCGCAGAGAAAAACGGCAUGCAUUUGCUAACUUCAUGUCCCCAAAAUUAUCGCCAUGAGGACACUGUCAAAAAAUUUGCGUCAUCAUUGUUUUGUUUGGUGGGAAAAGCUGUAUAUGAAAUGUUGCAAGCAAAUCUAGUUUGUGCUUUGCCUACUGUAUCGACAUUGCAUCGGAAGAUUACAAGCAAAUCGAAGAUAAAGGAAGGAGAAUUUCGUUUCAAUGAGCUUGCUGACCACCUAGAAAACUGGAAAGCACCAAAGGCAAUACAUAUCCAUUAAGACGACACCAGAAUACUGAACAAAGUAGAGUAUGAUCCUACAACUGAUCGAAGAGAUGGAAUUCCAUGUGGUGAAUUAAUUUAUUUUGCAUACAUUUGAUGAAUUGGAAACAACGUUCAAGUCGAGAAAGGUGGCUUCAUACGCUCAUUGUAUAGUUGUCCAACCUGUCAGUGCAGAUGCACCUUUAUUCGUACCGUGUCCUUCGUACUGAUUCAACAUACACUCAUGCUGAGAUUGAAAAACGGUGGCAGAUCAUUGAAGAUGGGCUCAAGAGAUGAAAAUGGUGCAGACGGUGCUGGACCAUUUUUAAAGGUCAUGGUUUCGAGAAGCAAGCUGUUUGGAGUCCAGGAAGGAUCAAAUGUCCCUUGUGAAUGGACUUUUUACUUGAUGCCGGCCUUAAGCACAAAAUGUCUCUAUGCACAGGACACAAUUCACCUUUUGGCAAAACUGAAAACAAGAUUGCUUUUGCCAUCUAACAUUCUGAGCAUUGGAGCUGAGGUUGCCUGCAGAGGUCAUCUUGUAGAGGUUCUAAAGCAGUUUCCAAAAGAAAGGCGCGGACUGACGCAAAAAUCGAUUGAUUGUAAAGACAAACAGAAUUACUUGAGCAUAGAGUUGCUGGUCAGUGAAUCCGUAGAGAAGUGUUUGAAGGAAUCUCGCUGUUCCCUGAGAACACAAGGAACAGUCGUUUACUUACAGCUGAUGCGUGACAUCAAGAAUUAGAUGUUCGACAAGUCAUUGAAACCGAUUAAAAGGCUCUAACUGGUGUGGAAAGCAAAUUUUUUCUUCGAAUAUGGAGAACAUGGCUUGCAGAGAAAUGUUUGCCAGAAGGUGAUCAUUUUAUUACCGGUUAUGCCUAUACAUGUAUUGAGCUAAAUGGGCAUAUGUUGUUGAACUUGAUCCACAAUGUUGCUAUUGGGCUGUUCCCCAAAGAAUCGUUGAGAGUUUGGAUGUCCGGGUCCCAGGCAUGUGAGCAGCUUUUUCGACUGUUGCGAUCGAUGACCCCAGUAUUCUCAACGAUUGUCAACUUCACGUUGAAAGGAAUACUGGAAAAAAUCCACAAAAUCCAGUACAUAAGAUCUAUUGAAAGCGAUGAUGAAAUUGUCUUCCCGCGUUUGAAACAAUGCCUGCUUCAAGCAAAAAGCGAAACUGAAGACACCACUGCUCCAGAUGUUGAAGAUAUAACACAGGAGAUUGUGAGUAGGGCUGUCCAAACCUUCGGAUAUUCCUAUUCGGUUAUUCGGCUUAAAAUUUAACGAAUAUUCGGUUAUUCGGCGAAUAUGGGUGUGGCAAAAUGGGUGUGGCAGGGUGGUGGUAAAAAACUGCAAUCUGAAAAUUUAUUGUAAUUUGUUGUGCUUAGCUGUGAAUAUAGCUAAUCAGUCAUUACUAUUCGAUAAGUUAGAACCAUUAAUUUUUUGUUUUCCUAUUGAUCUUUCCUGUGUUUUGUGCUGCAAAGCAAUU